rnacentral:rRNA from 1 species
UACGUAGGGCGCAAGCGUUAUCCGGAAUUAUUGGGCGUAAAGAGCUCGUAGGCGGUUUGUCGCGUCUGCUGUGAAAACCCGAGGCUCAACCUCGGGCCUGCAGUGGGUACGGGCAGACUAGAGUGCGGUAGGGGAGAUUGGAAUUCCUGGUGUAGCGGUGGAAUGCGCAGAUAUCAGGAGGAACACCGAUGGCGAAGGCAGAUCUCUGGGCCGUAACUGACGCUGAGGAGCGAAAGCAUGGGGGAGCGAACAGG